GCAGAGAUAAAAACACAGCCCGGUUGGUAGUCCGGGCGCAGGGCCAUCCCCUGUCAGUAACCUGCCCUCCCAUGGGUUGUCCGUUCUCAA
rnacentral:ncRNA from 1 species